UACGUAGGGAGCAAGCGUUGUCCGGAAUCAUUGGGCGUAAAGCGCGCGUAGGUGGCCCCGUAAGUCCGCUGUGAAAGUCAAAGGCUCAACCUUUGAAAGCCGGUGGAUACUGUGGGACUAGAGUACGGAAGAGGCGAGUGGAAUUCCUGGUGUAGCGGUGGAAUGCGCAGAUAUCAGGAGGAACACCAAUAGCGAAGGCAGCUCGCUGGGACGUUACUGACACUGAGGCGCGAAAGCCAGGGGAGCGAACGGG
rnacentral:rRNA from 1 species